UCCACCGCUGUGGUGAAUAGGAGGAGCGGUGGCGCGUCGAUUCAAGGGAGGGGUUGCGGCCCGGCGGCGAGUAGAUACUAGGGAGGGGCGCGGUUUCAUCAGCCAUGGGCGCUGUAGAGGUUCCAUAGCUGGAGCACGGGGGCAGCGUGGUGGGCUGUCCACGGUACCAUCCGCCAAGCUACUUCUUCCUGCAACCAACACCAAGGAACAAGCCCGGAGUUCUUCCUGCAACAAACGCCAAGCUACUUCUGAUUGACUGUCUCACUGCUGGUGAUCUAACACUGCAGUGGGUUUUGAUUGGUUUUGCAGACAUGCAGUAUUGGAGAUGCUGUACUGGGCUAGGCUGGGAAGGCACCUCAGCAUGCUGGAGACUGAACCAGCUGCUGCAACACAUCUAAUUCUCCCCGUUCCCCGUAUGUUUAACAAGGUCUGUUUGCAGGGGUAUGCACAAGCACGCGAGAUUAGGCUAGGGUACCUCGUCGCCGGGGAAGAAUGCCAGGUGCGUAUCCACGAUUCGAGAAAAGCAGAAGAAAAGAUCGGACCAAACUUAACCCACACGUGCACCUGCUCAAGAACAAGAACAGAGGAGGCAGGGGAGGAGAUAUAAAAAGGAAAUCUGGAUAGGGAGUUUGCCUCUGAAUGUUGCGUGUGCUUCUAUUCCGUGAAGGGCAUGCUAUUAUUGUGAAGGCCUUAGGGAAAAUAAUUUUUGACCUGUGCUAAACAAAAUGCAGAAACCAGUUGCUGGCAACGAAGGUGCUGCGAGCAGCAACCGACAGAGACAAGCUCAGCAAGCUGCCCAACGACCUAUUGCUGUUCACGAUGACUAUGAUGUGUAAUUUGUAAAUCUUCUGUCCUUUCGUUCCAAAAAAGUUGGUAGGAUUUGUUUCAAACAAAUAAAUAUUCUGUCCUAUCAUCUUUGUAGAUGGAAGGAGUUCAUGAACUCCAUAAUUCAGUAGCCAUCAUGUUUGUAAUGUUAUUUUCCCAAUUUCCCAACAAUUGAAGCUUCAA